GAUGAACCUAAGAAUACAAAAAUGUCAACUAGAAUACCAAUGCAGAAAAAUAGAAAUUCAGAGGAUAUGGUGUGUUUUAGAAGAAAAGUUAGACUGGAAAUUGACUUCUCAGAAGUGAGGUGUAUUUCUGUUAGACCAAUGGACCCUGAGCUUUUCUGCAGAAAACAGGUUCUGAGAACUGGUGGCCAAAUGAUGUUCAACAUCUACCAAUUGAAAGACAAUGGAAAUCAGAGCUUUUCUCUGCUAGAAGGAUAUAGAACUUUCUUUCCUUGGGUUUAAGCUGAAUGACUGCUUCAUAUUUAUGUAGUUAUACUGAUUUUGUUACUAGUUAUUUACUGUUCCGCUUUGGAAAAUGAAGAUGUCUUACCAAUACCUAUGUUUUUAUGGGGACCAUGUUAUGACCAUUACUGAGGGUGCUAAUUCAAGAAAUAAGAACGCUGAAAGAAAUUCUAUGCUAUAUUAAAAUAUUUCUUGAUGUUAAAACUUUCAGGAGUAUCCAACCCUUUUAUAUUGUUUGAAAAAGUCUAAGUUGCUCCACUAACUUAUAAGGAGAUAUUUAGAGGAUAUACAUGUCUGAAGGAGAGACUUUAGCCAAAACACAAUCAAAACUAGUCUUUCUGACACUAAAUGAACUGAUACUCUUAUAAAUGUGCACUUGAGUAGUAAAGCAUGUUUUAGGUAGAAACGAGGUACUUUAAGUUCAUGGUCUAUCCAGGUUCUUUUUAUUUUUUUUAUUUUUUUUUUAAUUUGAGAUUCAAAGAUAAUUUUCUCUAUUGCACAGGGAUUAUAGGAAAAAGGUAGUUUGCUGUAUUUUUCUGUUGCUACUACAAAACUGUUUUCUCAGCAGUCACAGAAACCCCAAAGAUCUGCAGAAGUGUACGUGAUGUUCAGUUUUGUCAACUUAGACUUUAGUUUUCUGUUCGUAAAACAAUGAGAGGAGAGCUGAGGGGACUCAGUGGGAACAAGUGGGUAUCUAACAGUGUUGUGAACAGUAGAUGACAUGAAUCAAGUGAAUGAGAAAAGGGCUGGACUGCUUUUUGUGGUUCCUAGGCAAUAGAAUGAGUAACAAUGUUGAAGAGGCUGCAGUGGAGAAAAGAGUUCUCAUUUUGUUUCCGGUGUGUAAAUUGUCUCUUCUCUUCUACAUCCCUCGAGUAUGGGGCUUCCUUCACUCCUGUAGUUGCCUUACACUUGGUUCCUACACUCUUCUCUAACUCUUCAAAAAUUGGGCACUCAGACUUGUGUGCCCCUAGUAACACUUAAGAACUGUUUUUAAAAGGAAGAGGUAAAAGCUAAUUUAGAAAGCUGACACUCGAGAAAACUUUCUUAGCUGUAAGAUAUGCAAUUUUAUGCACAGACUGACUACAAAGCAGUAGCAUUUUUAUCUGAGCAAAAUCUCAACUGAAAACACUAUUCAAGUGACAUUUAUUCUGUAGAAUGCCUACUGAUAUACUUGAGGCUUCCUAAAAAUAAAAA